rfam:Picea glauca, whole genome shotgun sequence.
UUUGUGAAAUAACUUGAGAGGUGUAGAAUAAGUGGGAUUUGUUUUCAGUGCAAGUGAAAUACCGCUACUUUUAAUGUUAUUUUACUUAUUCCAUGGCGCAGAGAUGAGGCAUUGCACACAUGUUAAAAGAUAAUGCACAUUUUAUUUGUAUUCCUUUGUAUUUCCAAGACAUA